AGUGAUAUGCUUGUCUCAAGGGCUAAGCCAUGCACGUCUAAGUAGAAGCCCGCCUCCGGCGGGCGAGACCGCGAAUGGCUCCAUACAACAGUCCCAGUUUACUGGAUGGUCGUGGCCUAGUUGGAUAACUGUGGUAAUUCUAGAGCUAAUACAUGCCCCCGAGCUCCGACUGUGCGGCGGCCGGCGGGGCUCCGGCUCUGCCCGGUCGCCGCGGGAGGAGCGCUUUUAUUAGCUCAAAGCCGACCGGGCUUCAACCCCUCCCCUUAACCGGGGUCGGGGCGGCCCGUUUCCACUCGGCGAAUCGAAAGAACCCGCAGAUCGCGCGGCGUCUCGUGCGCCCGCGACGCGUCCUUCAAGCGUCUGCCUCAUCAGCUUUCGACGGUAGGUUAGACGCCUACCAUGGCGGCAACGGGUAACGGGGAAUCGGGGUUCGAUUCCGGAGAGGGAGCCUGAGAAACGGCUACCACAUCCAAGGAAGGCAGCAGGCGCGCAAUUUACCCCCUCCCGGCACGGGGAGGUAGUGACGAGGCGUACCGCCGCGGGCCCCCGCGCGGGGCCGCGUAGGCGGAAUGAGCACAUUUUAAGUCCUUUAGCGAGGACCCAUCGGAGGGCAAGUCUGGUGCCAGCAGCCGCGGGAACUCCAGCUCCGAUAGCGUAUGUUAACGCUGCUGCGGUUAAAGAGCUCGUCGCCGGACGUCGGCCUCGGAGGGGCGGUUCGCCGGAGGGCGACACUUCCCCAUUCCGGGCGCAGUGGCGCGUUCCCGGGCGGCUCGGGUCAACCCGCGCAUCCGUCCCUCCGCCGGUCCCGGUUUAGCGGGCUGGGUGCGGGGCGUGUUCGGUCGCGGUGCGGGUGGGUUUCGGCCCCCCGCCCCGUCCGUCUCGCCCCCCCCUCCCGCGGCCGGGGUUCCCCGGCGGCAGGUCGGCGGUGCGCGGGCCCCGGCCUCCAACCCGGGAAAUCGGCGCCGGUUUCCUCGAGAAAAUCGGAGUGCUCAGAGCAGGCUGCUAGAGGCUCGCACGGGAGUGCAUGGAACUAGACCCCAACGGCCCCGGCCCGUCUUUGCUGUCGGCUUCGGGGGCCGGGGUCAGGGUCGAUGGGGACGGCCGGGGGCAUUGGUACCGCGACGUUAGAGGUGAAAUUCAGGGAUCGUCGCGUGACCGACGACUGCGAAAGCAUUUGCCCAGUACGUUCCCGUCGGCCGAGAACGAAAGUCGGAGGCUCGAAGGCGAUCAGAUACCGCCCUAGUUCUAACCUUAAACGAUGCCGACCGGCGAUCCGCCGCAGGAGGCGCGCGUCGGCGCCUCGGCGGGCAGCCCGCCCGGGAAACCCGAGUGUUCGGGCUCCGGGGGGAGUAUGGUCGCAAGGCCGAAACUUAAAGGAAUUGACGGAAGGGCACCACCAGGAGUGGAGCCUGCGGCCUAAUUUGACUCAACACGGGGAACCUCACCAGGUCCGGACCCCGGCAAGAUUGACAGGUUCACACGACACAGCCCUUUCUCGAUCCGGUGGGGGGUGGUGCAUGGCCGUUCGUGGUUCGUGGAGCGAUCCGUCUGGUUCAUUCCGGUAACGGGCGAGGCCCCGGCCAGUUAACUAGAGCGGGGCUCCCCGCAUAGGGCGCCCGGCUCAGGGAGGUAACACUCCCGGCUCUUCUCAACGGGACGGGCGGCGGGAAGCCGCACGAAGUCGGGGCAAGAACAGGUCCGUGAUGCCCUUAGAAGUCCUGGGCCGCACGCGCGCUACACUGACGGAGGCAGCGCGCUUCCUCUUCCCUCCCAGUCCGAGAGGACUCGGGAACCGCUCAACCUCCGUUCGUGCUGGGGACUGGGGACUGCAAGGUCCCCACGAACGAGGAAUUCCUCGUAGGCGCGAGUCAUCACCUCGCGUCGAUUACGUCCCUGUCCUUUGUACACACCGCCCGUCGCUACAUCCGAUCGAGCGAUCGAGCGAGGUUUUCGGACCGGGCCCGGCGCGGCUGCCUCGGCGGCCGCGUCGGCGUUCCCAGGGAAGUUGCCCGAGCUGGAUGGCUCAGAGGAGGUAUAAGU
rnacentral:rRNA from 1 species